AAAUGAUGAAAGCAUGGUUAUGUGCACGGAGUCUGAAUCACAGAGUGGACAUGUCUGCUCUCUCUGAUACUCUUCUUAAGGGGCUUCUUUUCAGUUGUAUGUAGCCUCCACUU